CAACUACUCCCUCUGUCCCAAAUUUCUUGUCUUAGAUUUGUCUAGAUACGGAUGUAUCUAAUACUAAAAUGUGACUUGAUACAUCCAUAUCUAGAAACCAUAUCUAGAAAAAUCUAAGACAAGAAUUUUCGGACGGAGGGAGUACUUU
rfam:Triticum urartu cultivar G1812 contig550102, whole genome shotgun sequence.